AAAAAAAAAAACAUCUGGGAGUCCUCUGAGACAUCCAUGAUGACCAGAACAUUGGGAGACUGAGGUCCACCUCAUAAUCUAUGCACUGCAUGAUGGGAUACUGGUUAGAGAUGUUAGAAAUAGUCCAAUUUCAACAAGGAGUUUACAUGUAGAUUAAUUAAAAUUUGGAAAUCGUGUCUACUGACACAUAAUCCCACAAGUAGAGUGCAAAUCAUUUAGACCGGGUAGAUCUGAGCCAGAAACGAUGACAGAGGAAUCCCCAUAAGCCAUGGAAAAUCAUUGUCUAUGUUCCUGGUGACGUCAGAGUCAUGGGUUUUGCUGUGUCAGGAAGAGCCAAUCCAAUUGGAUUGAUAGCUCAAGCAAGGGAUUGGAUAGAGGAGAAGUGAUCAAGGCAGAUAGAUAAAUUAUGGAUGAGUAAAGAGAAAGUCAAUCUUUUGUCAUUUUUUUUCUGCAUUUUACUCUCAGAAUAGAUACCUCCAAGGUGAUCUCCAUGUUCUUCCUCAGUCUUGAGGUUUGGGAUUCCCAGUGUGUGUCAGCAGAAUUGUGAGAGUGUGAGUUCAUCUAUUUUCUUCAGAUCGAUUUUUUUCUUGCAUGUAUUCCCUCUUCCGGUAUGAAUUUAGUAUCUUGGGAGAGCAACUGUAGACAGUGGUUCAAUAAGGAACGCAUAUGAAAAAAAUAUGUUCCAUGAACCGAUUCCUAUGAAGAGUGUGCAAUGACAGAGGUAGUGACCACUGCCAAAGAUGCUCUAGAGUUUAAAGUCCACUCAAGCAUCUGGUACUUAAUGUUAGUUUUCAAUGGAAAUCAAACCAGCAGUACUAGUGAUCAGCUGCUCAAUAAAUGCAGCACAAUUUAGAGCCUGGGGGGAUGAUGUUGGAUCAUUGAUGAGCAAAAAAAAAAAAAAAUAAACACCUGGGAGUCCUCUGAGACAUCCAUGAUGACCACAACAUUGGGAGUCUGAGGUUCACAUCAUAAUCUAUGCACUGCAUGCUGGGUUCCUGGUGAGAGAUGUUAGAAAUAGACUAAUUUGAAUAAGGAGUUUACAUGUAGAUUAAUUAAAAUUUGGAAAUCGUGUCUACUGACACAUAAUCCCAUGAGUAGAGUGCAAAUCAUUUUACCGGGGAGAUCUGAGCCAGAAACGAUGACAGAGGAAUCCCCAUAAGCCAUGGAAAAUCAUUGUCUAUGUUCAUGGUGACGUCAGAGUCAUGGGUUUUGAUGUGUCAGGAAGAGCCAAUCCAAGUGGAUUGAUAGCUCAAGGAAGGGAUUGGAUAGAGGAGAAGUGAUCAAGGCAGAUAGCUGUAAAUUAUGGAUGAGUAAAGAGAAAGUUAAUCUUUUUGUCAUUUUUUUUCUGCAUUUUACUCUCAGAAUAGAUACCUCCAAGGUGAUCUCCAAGUUCUUCCUCAGUCUUGAGGUUUGGGAUUCCCGGUAAUAGAUACCUCCAAGGUGAUCUCCAAGUUCUUCCUCAGUCUUGAGGUGUGGGAUUCCCGGUGUGUGUCAGCAGAAUUGUGAGAGUAAUACAUACCUCCACGGUGAUUUCAGAGUUCUUCCUCAGUCCUGAGGUUUGGGAUUCCCGGUUUGUGUCAGUAGAAUUGCGAGAGU
rnacentral:lncRNA from 1 species